UGGGUUUUAUGGUUGGGAAGAGUUCUGCUAAAUCAGUUUGAAGUUGCACUUGUACAUGUUGUGGCUUGGAAUGCAGCCGUUGUAUCAAGACGUUAAAAUCUCUGAUUUAGCGUUGUAAACAGAGCGAGGACAAUGUUUAUAUAAUUAUUCAGAUAUUGUAAUUACUCAAUUCUUUUCAAUGAUCUAUUGUGUUGGUAGCCGUUGCCGUCGCGUUGCCGUCCUAAAAUCG